rnacentral:rRNA from 1 species
AGCGAACGUUAGCGGCGCGCCUAACACAUGCAAGUCGCACGAGAAAGGGCUUCGGCCCCGGUAAAGUGGCGCACGGGUGAGUAACACGUGGGCAACCUGCCCAACCCUGGGGGAUAACCUGCCGAAAGGCGGGCUAAUACCGCGUACGAGGGCUCGACUUCGGUCGGGUUCUGAAAGCAGGCCUCUGUAUACAAGCUUGUGGGGUUGGAUGGGCCCGCGCUCCAUCAGCUAGUUGGUGAGGUAACGGCUCACCAAGGCUACGACGGAUAGCUGGUAUGAGAGGAUGAUCAGCCACACUGGAACUGAGCCACGGUCCAGACUCCGACGGGAGGUAGCAGUGGGGAAUAUUGGACAAUGGGCGCAAGCCUGAUUCAGCCAUACCGCGUGGGUGAAGAAGGCCUUCGGGUUGUAAAGCCCUUUUGUUGGGAAAGAAAUCCUGUCGGUUAAUACCCGGUAGGGAUGACGGUACCCAAAGAAUAAGCACCGGCUAACUUCGUGCCAGCCGCCGCGGUAAUAC